CGGCCUGGACCACGUGCAAAGGCAAACGUCGGGGGGACCUUUGUAACUGUCCCCGUCGCAGCUCGCUGCCUUUCCGCGGCGUCUGCCUGAACCCCGCGUUCGUGUCCUCCCGGGACUAUUCACUUAAAAGACCAGCCAUCUCGAGCCGCCUUUUAAAGGGUCUAGGAGCGCAUUAACCACAGUUUUGAAUGUUCCCGAACUCGAAUAAUUACAAGCUAAAAAUGGUGGGUUUUAACCGCACAAAAUAAGACAACGGAAACUGUUACUCGGAGCGUAAAGGAGAUUUGAACGAACCCCUAUUGUUUUCUUAAACAAACAAUAUUACAUUUCUGUUUCACUAAAAUCUCCCAGGCAGCGCUGUAAUGGAAAGGAAGGGAAAGAUAAUGUGUGCGCUCAUAGUUUGGUUGACAUUGCUUUGAUCGUAAUAUUCUUGGCAGAUCUCGUUUUCCUCUAAUUUUCGGGGUUAUGGGUCCUUCUCCCACAAAGGAUGUAAAGUGCUUGUUCCCCGGGAGGGUCCGCUGUCUGGUCUCCUCUGCACGGUCGUCCCUCCGACCCAGGCAUCAAUAUCCCAGGAGAUCUUUGUCCUGAAAAUCGCAGUUGCCUAAGUUCCCGCCUGCGUCCUACCGAUGCGGUCAACGAUGGAAAAACCUCACCUUAGAGAGCCCAGUCCCGCCGAGAAACUCAGGGUCAAAAAUAAUGUUAUUUGCAGACUGGACGCUGUUACGAUCCUCCGGGUGCCAGAAUACAGCUCAUAAAACACAAUUUCACACAAAAAUGAAGCCAAUCAAGUGAACUAAGCUGGAGACCUCCCCCUCACUUUGGCAGCCCUACCGGACAGCAGGGCUGCUAUUUACUGAGGAGAAAUGGAGUAAAGGGAACGGAUGACUAGGGAACCUCAGAAGCUUUAGGCUCCAGGAAGGAAGAUAAUCCAGCAAACCUGCAUCUCUUGAGAGAACUGGAGACUGAAUUUCUCUUUUGAGCUGAAUUUUGGAGGCCAAGAUCCCUUAAAAAAGGUUGACAGUGCCAGACAGGCGCUGCUGCACAGGCACUUCUCUGAUUCAAUCCCACCAGAAAGGCCUCGCUCAAGAUCAGAUGGAAAUGGACAGAGCGGAGCUGGGGUCCCGGGAGCUCUACUGCGUGGAGAGAGAGAGCUGCCGGCGCGCCCCAGCUGCUCACUUUGCCCAGGUUUGCUCCGCGCAGCUGGCACGCCAGCACCCUGCCCUUAGCGCGCUCUUUGCCCACGCACACCCUCCGCACCCUCCAAGCUUCCCGCCGCCUUCUUGCUCCCUUCAAACCUCGGUCCUUCUGCGGUUCUUUUCCAGCCCCGCGGCCGCCAAGUCUAGAACACAGCGCUUCUGAAAUCUGAAGCCCCUUUACCCGAGAUUUGCCGCGUGGUUGGCCCUCGGUCGCCCCAGGAAUAGGGGGAGGCGUCCCGCACUGUGUCCGCUGAGAUCGCGCAAAGAAAUGGCUGCGCGAGGUUUGGAUUGAACAAAAAAACUGGGUGAAGCCAGUUUCCAGUUAAGCUCUACGCGGCGAGAAACGUUGUCUUUCGGCAGCCCCCACCCCUUCCAGUUGGGAAACGCCCCCAGCAACUCCGCGGAGGAUCGCGAGCGCGUCCUCAAGCCCCUGAAGACUGGCUCUGUGUCACCGUGACCUCCGCUACCGCCCCCACCCUGUAGAGCGCCAGAGACAUUCAAGAAGCAGCAAAAGGGGGGAAAAGCAGAAAUCAGUAAUCCUGUCUGGAGACUGAACGAGACUAUGUUUUAGAGCCGACGAAGCGCGGUUUAAUUUCUAAGACAAACACACACCCCUCUUCCUUCGCACCCAAUAAAGGUGCGCACACACACACACACACACACACACGAAAAACACGCCGGCCCAAGAAAAAGGAUAGAGAAAAAUGGGAAGGGAGCUGGCAUAGGACUCACCUGCCUCUAGAGUGGUGCCGUUCAGCAUUCUUAGAGCAAAAGGUGAUCACGCCUUUCCGGUGGCUGUCCUGGAAGAGAAAGCCUUCCUUCAGCACGGCUGGCUGUUUGGUCCGAGGGCCCCAAGCGCCUCCUACCACCCGGUGGGGCGUGUCGGAACCGCUCUCCCCGCCGCAACCUCAGCUACCCAGUGGCUUCCAGGGAUGCUCGCCGCGCCAGCCUCGGGUAGGUGUCCGAGGCGCUCCUGGUGCGCACGGCCGUCUGGCCACACUACCGGGGUAGAAAACCACUCGGACAAGAAAAUCCAUAUCGGGAUCUUACCUUGAGGUUCAGAUGCCCCCCUCAAUAACCCGGUCCUGGGCAACGGAGAACCGGAGGCGGCAGCCAGAGGAGCGGACCGGUCCCCAGGUUUCGCCAAGGGGUUCUCUGUUAAUCCAAAUAAAUAAGCCUUGAAAAUCUCUCUCUCUCUCUC